rnacentral:rRNA from 1 species
AGAGUGAACGCUGGCGGUAGGCCUAACACAUGCAAGUCGAACGGCAGCACAGUGGUAGCAAUACCAUGGGUGGCGAGUGGCGGACGGGUGAGGAAUACAUCGGAAUCUACCUUUUGGUGGGGGAUAACGUAGGGAAACUUACGCUAAUACCGCAUACGCCCUUCGGGGGAAAGCCGGGGACCUUCGGGCCUGGCGCUGAUAGAUGAGCCGAUGUCGGAUUAGCUAGUUGGUGAGGUAAUGGCUCACCAAGGCGACGAUCCGUAGCUGGUCUGAGAGGAUGAUCAGCCACACUGGAACUGAGACACGGUCCAGACUCCUACGGGAGGCAGCAGUGGGAAUAUUGGACAAUGGGCGCAAGCCUGAUCCAGCCAUACCGCGUGGGUGAAGAAGGCCUUCGGGUUGUAAAGCCCUUUUAGUUGGGAAAAGAAAAGCAAUCGGUUAAUACCCGGUUGUCUGAACGGUACCCAAAGAAUAAGCACCGGCUAACUUCGCGCCAGCCGACGCC